UACGUAGGGUGCGAGCGUUAAUCGGAAUUACUGGGCGUAAAGGGUGCGCAGGCGGUUAUACUAAGACAGAUGUGAAAUCCCCGGGCUCAACCUGGGAACUGCGUUUGUGACUGUAUGGACUAGAGUACGGUAGAGAGGGGUGGAAUUCCUGGUGUAGCAGUGAAAUGCGUAGAUAUCAGGAGGAACAUCGAUGGCGAAGGCAGCCCCUUGGACCUGUACUGACGCUCAUGCACGAAAGCGUGGGGAGCAAACAGG
rnacentral:rRNA from 1 species